rnacentral:rRNA from 1 species
UACGUAGGGUGCGAGCGUUAAUCGGAAUUACUGGGCGUAAAGCGUGCGCAGGCGGUGCUGUAAGACCGAUGUGAAAUCCCCGGGCUUAACCUGGGAACUGCAUUGGUGACUGGCAGGCUUUGAGUGUGGCAGAGGGAGGUAGAAUUCCACGUGUAGCAGUGAAAUGCGUAGAGAUGUGGAGGAAUACCGAUGGCGAAGGCAGCCUCCUGGGCCAACACUGACGCUCAUGCACGAAAGCGUGGGGAGCAAACAGG